GACGAAAGCUGGCGGCGUGCUUAACACAUGCAAGUCGAACGAAGUGGCGAACGGGUGAGUAACGCGUAAUCAACCUGCCCUUCAGAGGGGGACAACAGUCGGAAACGACUGCUAAUACCGCAUACUGAAGGAGGAGAUUGCGUCUGAUUAGCUGGUUGGAGGGGUAACGCCCCACCAAGGCGAUGAUCAGUAGCCGGUCUUAGAGGAUGAACGGCCAAAUUGGGACUGCUACACGGCCCAGACUCCUACGGGAGGCAGCAGUGGGGAAUCUUCCGCAAUGGACGAAAGUCUGACGGAGCAACGCCGCGUGAGUGAUGACGGCCUUCGGGUUGUAAAGCUCUGUUAAUCGGGACGCGGUACCGGAAUAGAAAGCCACGGCUAACUUCGUGCCAGCAGCCGCGGUAAUUC
rnacentral:rRNA from 1 species